UACGUAGGUGGCGAGCGUUGUCCGGGUUUACUGGGCGUAAAGGGAGCGUAGGCGGACUUUUAAGUGAGAUGUGAAAUACCCGGGCUCAACUUGGGUGCUGCAUUUCAAACUGGAAGUCUAGAGUGCAGGAGAGGAGAAUGGAAUUCCUAGUGUAGCGGUGAAAUGCGUAGAGAUUAGGAAGAACACCAGUGGCGAAGGCGAUUCUCUGGACUGUAACUGACGCUGAGGCUCGAAAGCGUGGGGAGCAAACAGGAUUAGAUACCCUGGUA
rnacentral:rRNA from 1 species